GAUGUACUCCCUCCGUUCGGAAUUACUUGUCGCAGAAAUGGAUGUAUCUAGAUGUAUUUUAGUUCUAGAUACAUCCAUUUCCGAGACAAGUAAUUCUGAAUGGAGGGAGUACAUA
rfam:Triticum aestivum genome assembly, contig: Triticum_aestivum_CS42_TGACv1_scaffold_372799_4DS